GUCCACGCCGUAACGAUGGAUACUAGCUGUUGGGCAACUUCAGUGGCUAAGCGAAAGUGAUAAGUAUCCCACCUGGGGAGUACGUUCGCAAGAAUGAAACUCAAAGGAAUUGACGGGCCCGCACAAGCGGUGGAGCAUGUGGUUUAAUUCGAUGAUACGCGAGGAACCUUACCAAGGCUUAAAUGUAGAUUGACAGGUUUGGAAACAGACUUUUCUUCGGACAAUUUACAAGGUGCUGCAUGGUUGUCGU
rnacentral:rRNA from 1 species